AACGUAGGACGCAAGCGUUAUCCGGAGUUACUGGGCGUAAAGCGCGGGCAGGCGGUCUUGCCAGUCUGAUGUGAAAUCUCUCAGCUCAACUGAGAGCGGCCAUUGGAAACUACAAGACUGGAGUCUGACAGAGGUAGGCGGAAUUCCGGGUGGAGUGGUGAAAUGCGUAGAGAUCCGGAGGAACACCAGAGGCGAAGGCGGCCUACUGGGUCAGUACUGACGCUGAGCCGCGAAAGCCAGGGGAGCGAACGGG
rnacentral:rRNA from 1 species